rnacentral:misc_RNA from 1 species
AAGUCGUAACAAGGUUUCCGUAGGUGAACCUGCGGAAGGAUCAUUAAUGAAUGUCGAAAGACAAUUAUUUAUCAAACACUUGUGAAUUUUAUCAUAUUUUGCUUUGGCUGAAAGGCCAACAUUUAAACACAUCAAGAAUUUUUAGUAUGAAACUGAAUUAUAAAUUAUUCAAAACUUUCAACAACGGAUCUCUUGGUUCUC